ensembl:ncRNA lncRNA:CR43719 long non-coding RNA:CR43719
CUUUUUUAUGCCCAAGCGUAGGAAAACCUUUUGUGACAUAACAAAAAUGUAAAAAAUAGAUCAUUAAAUUCAUACGUAGUCUGCGAAUUAAAAGAGAUUCUACACCUAUAUCCCCCGACUGACGGAUGCUAUAGGGUAUGAAAAUACGAAAAUAUUAACGCGAAAUAGGAAAUCAGAGAUCGGCCAAAAAGUCGGAAAAUAUGUCAGCGCCGAGGGGCAGCGGGAAAGAUGACAUCCAAUAUGCGGGAAAACAUUGAAGACCUGACCCACAUAUUUCGUUGGUGGUUCUCCUCAGUUUCCUUCCACCCUUUCCACGACUUCUGCUUUUGCCCUCCAAAAAGUGAUUGACAAGGUGAGACAAAUUCUUCUGCAUCUGUAUCUGUAUCUGUCUCCGUCUCCGUAUCCGUGUAUUGGGACUCCACAGCGGCGACAGUUGCAAGAUGCUCCCCCUCCCCCUCCACCCUCUGUUUUGUACGCUUGAUUGAUUGCGGCUCGGCGUCCCCAAGGUCACUAGGUGGACUACAAAAGAUAUGCAAAUAUUGGGUGCCGAACGAAAGCUGCGGGCGUGACUCACGACCACCCAUCGGGGUCACCAAACAUCCCCCAUCCCAGUGGGGAACGAGCUCGGCCAUAGGAUCGACAAGCAGUCAUAAACUCGAACUACUUAUGGCAACUAGCAAUUCUCAUUGCAUAUUUAUUCGGCUAUAAAAUGCGAAAGAGCAGCCGCACAUGGGAUCACAUGGCAUUCCAUACCAAGCGAUCCCUAGAUCCCCAACUAAAUAAAUUUCAAAAUUGUUUAUUUUCUUCCAAAC